GCGCUCGACAAAAAGUUCACUUAAGUAUUCGCUAAAAGGCAACUCUCACCACACUCUCUCGCGACCCUUAGAAACCCUCUCUCUCUCUACUCCCUUUCCCAUCGCUGAAACACCAUCUCCAUCGCACUGUCCAGAUUGCUCGCCAUCCAGGUCACAGAUCUCGCCAUCCAGUUCACUGAGGUCGCCGUAUCCCUUGAGUCCAAGUUACUGAGGUCACCAAAAGUAUCACCUCCACAAUCUUCACGAUCUCCUUCAUGAGGCCUCCUUCGAGCCCACUGGUCUCUUCUCUUCCAGGCUUCGCCUUCUCUUUGUCGACCCGUUCUUCGAUAAAUUUGAGAUGAUGAAAAUCGCUUGAUUCGUUUUUGAAGAUCUCGUUGAUUUCGUUGUGGUUGUGGCCGUUUUAGCCACUGAUGCCGACGAUUUCUUAUUAGAUUAACGAGAUCGAUGAUUAGGUUGGAGAAUGCACGAAACGCAGCGUUUGAUUUACGCGGGUGUAUUUUUGGUGGCUUUGUUUUGCAGGAUUUGAUUUGAGAAUCGGAGAUGGAAGAUUAGAGGUUGUAGGAGGAGGAGGAUAUUGAGACUGUGUUGAGGUGUUAGGCUGUGUUGGAACAAUGUUCGACAAGAAUGAGAAUCAUCAUACGGUUCCAGUCUCGAUGAUGUUGAAGCAUGAAUUGGCUAAUGGGAAGGUUGAGAGACCUCAGAUUGUGCGCGGUUAGGUGAGUCAGAGCAAGAAGGGGGAGGAUUUUACGCUGGUAAAGACGGAAUGUCAAAGAGUUGUGCGAGAUGGAGUUUCUACAUAUUCAGUUUUUGGGUAUUCUCUCUCUCUCUCUCUCUCUCUCUCUCUCUCUCUCUCUCUCUUUUUCUCUGUUUCUUCAGUUUUUUAAAUAUUUUUUACCUAGUCUGCCAUUUAUAUUGAAGACUAUGUAUAAUUGGCUAAGAAGUUUAUAUUUGAUGUUAAUCAAAGGGGAAAAUAUUGUCACCCAACGGUUUGCUUAAGUUUGUUGAUCAGCUGGUCUUGGUGGAUUUUUGUUGACUUGCUUUCUCUCGUUUGUCUUUUGACAUAUGUAGCUAAUUUAUGAUGCUUAAUCACUUAUCAUAAGCUCUAUUUCAUGUUUACAUAAACUAGAUGUAUUUGAAUAUGCACCAUAGGAGAAGCAAUCUGCAUUUCAUCGAACAUUGUUUGUUUUUAUGUGUAUGUCAAUGCUGUGUCUACGUCGAGAUCAACAUGAACAAUGGAAACGCCAUCAGGACAAGCCUUCUAGAAGAAGUGUGAAGGUUUUCCGCUGCCAAUUACCCUGUGAUAAUCCUUUCUACUCAAGUGAGCCACCAAAGAAGGAUAGUACAGACAAGCCUAUUAAGGCUGGAGAUUGUUGAUAUGGUUCAGAGGAGAAGACAUUCUCUUUCCCUUCUUCAUCAAUGGUGUGUGAAGAUUAUGUACACCGGAUUGGAAGGACGGGAAGAGCAGGAUCAAUGGGACAAGCUACUUCAUUUUACACUGAUUGUGAUA